rnacentral:rRNA from 1 species
GGAAGGUGCAAGCGUUAAUCGGAAUCACUGGGGCGUAAAGAGCGCGUAGGCGGUUAGAUAAGUUGGGUGUGAAAGCCCCCGGGGGGCUCAACCUGGGGAACUGCAUUCGAUACUGUCUGACUAGAGUGUGAUAGAGGGAGGCGGAAUUCCGCAUGUAGCGGUGAAAUGCGUAGAGAUGCGGAGGAACACCAAUGGCGAAGGCAGCCUCCUGGAUCAACACUGACGCUGAGGCGCGAAAGCGUGGGGAGCAAACAGGAUUAGAUACCCUGGUAGUCCACGCCGUAAACGAUGUCAACUAGCCGUUGGGAGCAAUUUGGCUCUUGGUGGCGCAGCUAACGCGAUAAGUUGACCGCCUGGGGAGUACGGUCGCAAAGAUUAA